rnacentral:rRNA from 1 species
GACGAACGCUGGCGGCGUGCUUAACACAUGCAAGUCGAGCGGUAACAGGUGUAGCAAUACAUGCUGACGAGCGGCGGACGGGUGAGUAACGCUUGGGAAUCUGCCUGUUAGUGGGGGACGAACCCGGGGAAACGUCGGGCGUAAUACCGCAUACGCACUACGGUGGAAAGCCGGGGACCGCAAGGCCUGGCGCUAACAGAUGAGCCCAAGUCGGAUUAGCUAGUUGGUAGGGUAACGGCCACCAAGGCGACGAUCCGUAACUGGUCUGAGAGGACGACCAGUCACACCGGAACUGAGACACGGUCCGGACUCCUACGGGAGGCAGCAGUGGGGAA